GAUGAAGAACGCAGCGAAAUGCGAUAAGUAAUGUGAAUUGCAGAAUUCAGUGAAUCAUCGAAUCUUUGAACGCACAUUGCGCCCGCCAGUAUUCUGGCGGGCAUGCCUGUUCGAGCGUCAUUUCAACCCUCAGGCCCCGCCUGGCGUUGGGGAUCGGCGCGGCCCUCUCUGGGCUGCCGGCCCCGAAAACUAGUGGCGGUCUCGCUGUAGUCCUCCUCUGCGCAGUAGCAACGCUCGCACUGGAACUCGGCGCGGCCACGCCGUAAAACACCCCACUUCUGAAAGUUGACCUCGGAUCAGGUAGGAAUACCCGCUGAACUUAAGCAUAUCAAUAAGCGGAGGA
rnacentral:misc_RNA from 1 species